ACGGUCCGUUGGAUUAUUAGAAAAUACACACCCGAGGUGGUGAUGCAGUCACGACGCGAAGCGGAGUGGCCGUUACACCUCGGGUGUGCAUUAUUUUUCUAAUAAUUCAACGGACCGAAGUCAAUUAUUCUGCUUAUACUACGGUUGCCACACCUCAAGACAUGGACCAGAGGAUAUAUUUCAAGGCAUUCGUCCAGUAUUUCUACUUAAAUCGCUAUUGUGAGGAGGAUUAUUUCUUCCGCAUUUCAUCCAACGCCUCCGUUGCUAAUUCCAAAACGUCAUUUUAAACCUAGUAACGGAGGCUUGAGCCGUUAAUAACAGAUGCAGUUAAUACAGUUAAUAACUAAGUUAUGAGAGAGAGAGAGAGAUUACCUCUGUGCGUCUCUCAAUAGUGUUCAACAGCAAUGUCUCUAGUUAUAGUGAAACUUAGUUCCUUUUGUUCACGAACAGCGCCGUUGUUACCUCGCUUGUGAGAAGUCAUGUAGUUUUUAAGUUGUUUACUGAUAAAAUCGUCAGAGUAGCACUAACAACAUUAGUGCGAUGUAUGCUAGUGUGUGCAAACUGUAACGUAUGUGCGGUCUGUGAGGGAGAGAGAGAGAGUAUGUGCUUUCUGUACAUAAAGCAUAAUUUUGUGGCAAAAACAUUUAUUUAAAAACAUAUCCAUUUGUUUACUAUAUUUAUUUAUUUGGACAGUGUCGUUGUGGGUUUUGGUUAUUUUGCUGUUGUAAGACCUUUGUCAUGUAAUGCCGUCAAGAGCUGCCUGUUCGCAGUGCGUUUCCCUGAAAAUAAUUGCACACCUUAGAACGUUCGUCAGCCAAUCAGAUUCAAGCAUUCAACGGCCCCGUAGUAUAGGCCUAAGCACCUUUAUUUUUAAGAGCGUAGGUAGUCUGAAGUCCAACAUUAUCAAACUGUCAUGUGAGGACACUUGAGAAACACCAGCCGAUGCUUUAAUAUCAAGUGUUAAAAGUCACCAGCUGAAGUAGAUCGGACAAGUUUCUUAUUAUCAAUUUCCACCAUGAAAGUGCGAGCGGCGAUGUUAACGUCUGACCCUUCAUGUGUGAGCGUCUGUCAGAUGUUUGACAUCUCAUUAGCACCACUGGAUAUCAGCGACUGAAUUAACAUCAGGACGUGCCAUUCUAAAUCACAUCUGAGACUCAAGCAGAACACCUGGAGAAAAGGUCAUACAGGCAAUUUUCUGCUGCAGUGAACACGCGGCACGAUGAUCCACUGAAGAGCUGCCGAUGCUGAAGUCUGCUGCUGUCCUCAGAGACACACGGGCGUCUACCUGAUGGCCUGCAGGAAACUCACGCACACUUAUCGCUCGCUGCGGCCCGCACCGACUGCUCUGGGCUCUUUAGAGGAUUCACUCGGUGCUUAGGAAAGACGUUCUCCAGAAGGAAUACCACAGAGAAACACAGUGUUUACUGCUGUGAGACGGCCAGAGUAAGGACUAAGACAAUGCAUCAUGGGAAGUACAGGAACAGCCAAUCAUUCCCACAUGAAAACCACAGACAGACAAACUGAUUGGUUGAGCUGAUUUCAAAAAGAUACUGUAAGAUGGCAAUAAACACACAUGCUAUAUUAAUGUUUCAUACUGCUAUGUUGCUAUGAAUCAUAAAAGCCCUAAAAACCUUAGACUAACUACAACACUAAAUGCUAACUGUUAAUCACCUACUGAUGUUUUUCAUUAUA